UGCAAAAUAACUAUUUAGCUAGCAGUCUCCUAAAGAGUGUCCUCAACACACCCACCGCUCCAGGCCUCCUCCUUAAACUACUUCUCCAACAACCGGAAUCCGUCUCUAAAGUUUCUGUCUGGCGAUCUGCGCGCAUAGGUUCAAACCUAGGAAAAUGGGAUCCAAACACAGGGAGGAAGAAAAAAAAACGUCCUUUCCCCUUUGGCUGUGAACUUUCCCUUCUGAUAAAAUGUGGUUUCAUAUUUUGCUCAAAAUGAGACCGGUUUCCUGUCUGUGUAUCGAGUGGAAGAACACCGCAAGGGCUGAGUAAAUGGAAAACAUCCAAAGAGCAAAAGAGGGAAGAGGAUUCCUUUGGUCUGGUUUUGUGUUUUUGUCUUGUUCUUCCACCUAGAUGCCCUCUUCAAAGUUACAUAAGAAUUGGAAACAGUAAAAUAAAUUGCUUUAAUUGAUGAUGUGCCAUUACCCGGCCACACAGGUAUUAGUGGGUCCUUUUUACAAAGCUACUCCUGUGCAGGAUUUUCCUCAGGAACCUUCAGAAAGUGUCAAGGAGAAGUAGCCACACAGGACGUGAAAGAGUCUCAGCAGGGCAAGAAAGUACCAGGACUGCUUAGGACAGAGCCAGGAUUCCUGGAGCACUCUGUCUUUGGCAUCACUGCCCCCAGAAGGCAUAUUCCUGCCUGUGACCUAAAACAAGUCCAAACCAGCUACCUAACUGAAGUCAACUCCAGUCGCCUCUCACAGUACUACCAGUACCCCUAGUUCGCCUGACAACAAAAAACCCAGCAAGUCUCUGCUUGAACUAGCUUGGAAGCCAAGCCAAACCAACACCAGAGUCACCAACCCACAUCAUUCGGUCAGUUUGGAAACAGAAGGGGCCAGACCCUCUCCCAUCUCCUAACAGCCUCACCAAAAUGGAUAGAUUCUUAAAGCCCAACAGACACCAGAGUGCCAUUUAAAACCUAGGCACGUUUUUGGAGCCCAAGGGAACAAUUGACUAGAUUCAGUGUCUCUGGAACUGGGUACAUGCCUGUAAGGUGUGUGAUCCUUUAAAGAUCCGUGUUACUAGCUUUGCAUGAAGGCUUUGUUACAGCUUUGUCAGCUUGCUUGCAUUCAGCAACCUUGCUCCCACCCCCACCCUCCCUUUUCCUCUUCUCCCCUCAACUGCCUAUUCUAGCAAUGCCUGGCUGAGUUGUUUUGAAGCUCCCCUUUAAAUACAUUUCAUGCGAAAGUUGUAUGCUGACUAUGCACUGGGUCUCCCUUUGGGAACCGUGGUCUCCCUUUGCUUGUUGCAAAUAAACAGGAUUUUUACUCCCA